UUAGACUAAGUCAUCACCCUCCGAAGAGUGCAGAUGUCCCUGUCUGUUUUAUCGUCACUUGCAAUCCCAAACACAAACAAUUCUCAUUCUUAUUAUCAAAACCUUCACUUGCAUAAACAAGUUUGCAUAGUAAAAAUCCAACCUUCCCGGCAUAACAACAAAAGAUAAGAAAUUUCAGCAAAACCAGGCAAUAAAUUUGCUGGACCAGGGUUUUGGGCUAAACCCAACUCCAAAGUUUUCUUCAGCUACAAUUCGGAAAAAAUUCAGAGAACAAGAACAGAAACAGUACAGUAAUCAUAAAGCCUCAUGCCUCAGAGUAAAUUUGUUUCAUAGAAAUUAAUCUCAAAGUAUAUUUAACACCAUCACAGGCAUGGGUAGGCAUACUUCUUAAUACUAGCCUUAAACAAUGAAAACAAACACAGAGAUCAAAACAAUACAAGAUGAGAAUGCUUCGCAAUACUGAGAAUUGGCUAUGAAUCUCAUACUCAAAGUGGCAGGUGAGAAACGGCAUACAAGGAGGAGGGUGCAGAAGAGGAGAGGGUUCUAGACUUC
rnacentral:lncRNA from 1 species